GCUGUGAUGGUCGAGUAGUUAAGGCGUUGGACUUGAAAUACAAUCUGAUAUUCCCGUGCAGGUUCGAACCCUGCUUGCAGCG
rnacentral:tRNA from 1 species